rnacentral:misc_RNA from 1 species
AAAGCAACAGCAGCAGAGCCAGCAGCUGCUCCAAGAUCAUCAACAAAAGCAACAGGAGAAGGAUCAGGAUCAACAACAAGAACCUAAAAAGGUGUCAGUGGUACAGAUCGGCAAGUUGGCGCCUCUGAGCAAUCUCGACGAGGAACUGGAAGACCUAGAGAACGGAAAGGGUGCCGAACAAGGGGCGGAGGAGGAGGAGGAGGACUUCUCCAAAGAGGGUGGCACCCAACACCGCCUAAGCCCCAGGCUGCAUGAUAUCAAAGAGGAAGACGAUGAGGACGGUAGGAAUACCAAGGGAAGACCAUAUCAGAAGAAAUCGCCGACCCCGAGUGGCGGUGGUGGCAGCAGAACGGGUUGGCGAUCGCGCAGAAGCAUCACCACGACAGGUGCACCGACUCACCAGCACCACGUGAUCGCCAGUGCAGCUGCAACUGCACAGGCCAGGAUGCAGGCCGAACAGGGCAGCAUCGGUGAGCUACGGGGCUACCACAAUUUUAGGUCCAGGAGACACACUCUGGCCAACGUUCGACGGAGAUUACGAGACGUCCAGUGAAGGAGCAAUCCGUGAC